rnacentral:rRNA from 1 species
AGUGAACGCUGGCGGUAGGCCUAACACAUGCAAGUCGAACGGCAGCACAGUAAGAGCUUGCUCUUACGGGUGGCGAGUGGCGGACGGGUGAGGAAUACAUCGGAAUCUACUUUUUCGUGGGGGAUAACGUAGGGAAACUUACGCUAAUACCGCAUACGACCUACGGGUGAAAGCAGGGGAUCUUCGGACCUUGCGCGAUUGAAUGAGCCGAUGUCGGAUUAGCUAGUUGGCGGGGUAAAGGCCCACCAAGGCGACGAUCCGUAGCUGGUCUGAGAGGAUGAUCAGCCACACUGGAACUGAGACACGGUCCAGACUCCUACGGGAGGCAGCAGUGGGGAAUAUUGGACAAUGGGCGCAAGCCUGAUCCAGCCAUACCGCGUGGGUGAAGAAGGCCUUCGGGUCGUAAAGCCCUUUUGUUGGGAAAGAAAAGCAGCAGGUUAAUACCCCGCUGUCCUGACGGUACCCAAAGAAUAAGCACCGGCUAACUUCGUG